rnacentral:rRNA from 1 species
UACGGAGGGUGCAAACGUUGCUCGGAAUCAUUGGGCGUAAAGCGCACGUAGGCGGCCGAUUAAGUCGGGUGUGGAAGCCCUGGGCUCAACCCAGGAAGUGCACUCGAAACUGACCGGCUUGAAUAUGGAAGAGGGUCGCGGAAUUCCCGGUGUAGAGGUGAAAUUCGUAGAUAUCGGGAGGAACACCAGUGGCGAAGGCGGCGACCUGGGCCAAUAUUGACGCUGAGGAGCGAAAGUGUGGGGAGCGAACAGG